rnacentral:lncRNA from 1 species
AUGACCACCGCGACCAGCUCCUCUUCCGUUACGCCUGUCUCAAGUAAAAAGCUAAUACCUACCAGUGCUGUGACCGCAGCGGGUUUAGCUACCAGCCCUUCCCCACCCAAAAUUGCCAAGAUGAUUUCCCUGUCUGGGUCCUCAUCCUUCAACAAAACAGUCUCGCCUAUGUUCAAAGCAGCUCCAGAGUUCUUAGGGAACAUUGGAACCCACACCAUGAGGAUCUUGCCAACCGGUCCUGGAACUCAAGGACCGUCACUGGCCCAGGGGGGAUCUAAAAUGGUUCCGGCCAGUGGAAGUUUCACUUUGCUUCAACCUCCGGGUACCAAGACACCCUCUGCAGCUCUUGGGCCAGAUAGCGUCUUAGCCACAGUAUCAGACAAACCUCCAUUGGUGUUGGUUGUAGACAAACCCAAAACAGUACUUGUGGUGGAAAAACCUGCCACAGAUCCUUUGCUGAGUAAACCUUCACCAGUUCCUGGUUUGGACAAACCUUCAGCAGUGUUGCUGGCAGAUAAAACCAAAGCAGUUUCUGCAAAAGACAAACCGACAACAGAUUCUGGACCUUCAGCUGCGUUGGAGAACUCUCCAGAAGUCCAGAAGCUGUCAGACAAACCUCCAGAGGUCCCAGCAGUCCCUGUUCUGGAAAAGCCCCUAACAACUGUAGUGCCGGAGGAACACUCAGCGUCUCCUGCUACAGACGAAUCUUCGGUCUUAACUUCAGGCGACAAGUCAACCACAGUCCUUUCCUCUGACGAUGCCCCGGGUGUCCCUUUGCAGGACAAAAGCUCGACUGUAGCCAUCCCUGUGUCAGAUAAACCAUCUAAAGACCCGGUGUUGGACAAGCCCCCUGCGGUACCGGUGUCAGAGGGUUCUACAGCUGUCUCUGUGCAGAACAAACAGGACAGCAGUGGCACAGAUGUCACAGCAGAGAGUUCUGUUUGCGCCCCGAUAGUUCUCUCUUCUAAACACAGCUCCUCCAGUGAUUCAAGUUUGACUAGCCCGGUAAAAGCUGAUCAGCUGAAGCCUACCAGUCCUCCCAAGGAUGCUUCACCUGAAGAUAGGAAUACCGCCUCAGCCGAAGCCUUGAAGGGAAACUCUGACACGUCAAAACCCUCUGCCAGUUCUGUUUCUCUCCCAAGCAGCCAUCCGCAGGCUGAUAAAACUGCGCCUGACGGUGAGCCCUUGCUCUUUAAGGAGAUGUUGGAUCUGACUCCUCUAAGCCCCUCUGUGGAUGGAUGUGAGGAAGAAGAAGAGACUGUAGACGUCGAUAGCGAUGACCAUGAGGAAGAGGAGUGCAUUGUUUUAACAGAUGGGAAGCCAAUGAUGGAGGAAGGAGAGAUCGGCUCAGAUGUUGAGGUCCUUGGAGACACUCUCCUCCUGACUGACGACUCCGAUGAGGACUCGGACUCAGAUGAUGAGUCUGUUUGCGUGAUCAGUGUAAGAUUUUAG